rnacentral:rRNA from 1 species
CUGCUUUGGGAUCGACUAGCCAUGCGAGUCGAGAGGGUUCGGCCCUCGGCUGACGGCUCAGUAACACGUGGAUAAUCUGCCCUUAGGUGGAGGAUAAUCUCGGGAAACUGAGGAUAAUACUCCAUAGAUCUAGAAUGCUUGAAUGUAUCUAGAUUGAAAGCUCCGGCGCCUAAGGAUGAGUCUGCGGACUAUCAGGUUGUAGUCAGGGUAAAGACCUGACUAGCCUACGACGGAUACGGGUUGUGAGAGCAAUAACCCGGAGACGAUAUCUGAGACACGAUAUCGGGCCCUACGGGGCGCAGCAGGCGCGAAAACUUCACACUGUGCGAAAGCGCGAUGAGGGAAUCCCAAGUGUUUGCUCGUAAGAGUAAACUGUUUCUUUGUUUAAAACGCAGAGAGAGUAAGGGCUGGGUAAGACGGGUGCCAGCCGCCGCGGUAAUACCUGCAGCUCAAGUGGUGAUCAUUAUUAUUGGGCCUAAAACGUCCGUAGCCGGUUUAGUAAAUGCCUGGGUAAAUCGUGUAGCUUAACUAUACGACUUCCGGGUAGACUGCUAAACUUGAGACCGGGUGAGGCUAGAGGUACUCCUGGGGUAGAGGUGAAAUUCUGUAAUCCUAGGGGGACCACCAGUGGCGAAGGCGUCUAGCUAGAACGGGUCUGACGGUGAGGGACGAAGCCCUGGGGCACAAACCGGAUUAGAUACCCGGGUAGUCCAGGGUGUAAACGCUGCUUGCUUGAUGUUAGUUGGGCUCC